rnacentral:hammerhead_ribozyme from 1 species
GUACUGAUGAAGAGUCCCAAACUAGGACGCAAGAGCUGUCCAGUAC